ACAAUGGAGAGUUUGAUCCUGGCUCAGGAUGAACGCUAGCGGCAGGCUUAACACAUGCAAGUCGAGGGGCAGCGA
rnacentral:rRNA from 1 species